GGGUUGUGAGGUUAAGCGACUAAGCGUACACGGUGGAUGCCCUGGCAGUCAGAGGCGAUGAAGGACGUGCUAAUCUGCGAAAAGCGUCGGUAAGGUGAUAUGAACCGUUAUAGCCGGCGAUGUCCGAAUGGGGAAACCCAGUGUGAUUCGUCACACUAUCGUUAACUGAAUACAUAGGUUAACGAGGCGAACCGGGGGAACUGAAACAUCUAAGUACCCCGAGGAAAAGAAAUCAACCGAGAUUCCCCCAGUAGCGGCGAGCGAACGGGGAGCAGCCCAGAGUCUGAAUCAGCUUGUGUAUUAGUGGAACGGUCUGGAAAGUCCGACGGUACAGGGUGAUAGUCCCGUACACCAAAAUGCACAGGCUGUGAACUCGAAGAGUAGGGCGGGACACGUGGUAUCCUGUCUGAAUAUGGGGGGACCAUCCUCCAAGGCUAAAUACUCCUGACUGACCGAUAGUAAACCAGUACCGUGAGGGAAAGGCGAAAAGAACCCCGGCGAGGGGAGUGAAAAAGAACCUGAAACCGUGUACGUACAAGCAGUGGGAGCACCUUCGGGUGUGACUGCGUACCUUUUGUAUAAUGGGUCAGCGACUUAUAUUCUGUAGCAAGGUUAACCGUAUAGGGGAGCCGCAGGGAAACCGAGUCUUAACUGGGCGUUAAGUUGCAGGGUAUAGACCCGAAACCCGGUGAUCUAGCCAUGGGCAGGUUGAAGGUUGGGUAACACUAACUGGAGGACCGAACCGACUAAUGUUGAAAAAUUAGCGGAUGACUUGUGGCUGGGGGUGAAAGGCCAAUCAAACCGGGAGAUAGCUGGUUCUCCCCGAAAGCUAUUUAGGUAGCGCCUCGUGAAUUCAUCUUCGGGGGUAGAGCACUGUUUCGGCUAGGGGGUCAUCCCGACUUACCAACCCGAUGCAAACUACGAAUACCGAAGAAUGUUAUCACGGGAGACACACGGCGGGUGCUAACGUCCGUCGUGAAGAGGGAAACAACCCAGACCGCCAGCUAAGGUCCCAAAGUCAUGGUUAAGUGGGAAACGAUGUGGGAAGGCACAGACAGCCAGGAUGUUGGCUUAGAAGCAGCCAUCAUUUAAAGAAAGCGUAAUAGCUCACUGGUCGAGUCGGCCUGCGCGGAAGAUGUAACGGGGCUAAACCAUGCACCGAAGCUGCGGCAGCGACACUAUGUGUUGUUGGGUAGGGGAGCGUUCUGUAAGCCUGCGAAGGUGACCUGUGAGGGUUGCUGGAGGUAUCAGAAGUGCGAAUGCUGACAUAAGUAACGAUAAAGCGGGUGAAAAGCCCGCUCGCCGGAAGACCAAGGGUUCCUGUCCAACGUUAAUCGGGGCAGGGUGAGUCGACCCCUAAGGCGAGGCCGAAAGGCGUAGUCGAUGGGAAACAGGUUAAUAUUCCUGUACUUGGUGUUACUGCGAAGGGGGGACGGAGAAGGCUAUGUUAGCCGGGCGACGGUUGUCCCGGUUUAAGCAUGUAGGCUGGUUGUCCAGGCAAAUCCGGAUAAUCAAGGCUGAGGUGUGAUGACGAGGUACUACGGUGCUGAAGUAACAAAUGCCCUGCUUCCAGGAAAAGCCUCUAAGCAUCAGGUAACAUCAAAUCGUACCCCAAACCGACACAGGUGGUCAGGUAGAGAAUACCAAGGCGCUUGAGAGAACUCGGGUGAAGGAACUAGGCAAAAUGGUGCCGUAACUUCGGGAGAAGGCACGCUGGUGUGUAGGUGAAGUCCCUGCGGAUGGAGCUGAGACCAGUCGAAGAUACCAGCUGGCUGCAACUGUUUAUUAAAAACACAGCACUGUGCAAACACGAAAGUGGACGUAUACGGUGUGACGCCUGCCCGGUGCCGGAAGGUUAAUUGAUGGGGUUAUCCGUAAGGAGAAGCUCUUGAUCGAAGCCCCGGUAAACGGCGGCCGUAACUAUAACGGUCCUAAGGUAGCGAAAUUCCUUGUCGGGUAAGUUCCGACCUGCACGAAUGGCGUAAUGAUGGCCAGGCUGUCUCCACCCGAGACUCAGUGAAAUUGAACUCGCUGUGAAGAUGCAGUGUACCCGCGGCAAGACGGAAAGACCCCGUGAACCUUUACUAUAGCUUGACACUGAACAUUGAGCCUUGAUGUGUAGGAUAGGUGGGAGGCUUUGAAGCGUGGACGCCAGUCUGCGUGGAGCCAACCUUGAAAUACCACCCUUUAAUGUUUGAUGUUCUAACGUUGGCCCCUGACCGGGGUUGCGGACAGUGUCUGGUGGGUAGUUUGACUGGGGCGGUCUCCUCCCAAAGCGUAACGGAGGAGCACGAAGGUUAGCUAAUCCUGGUCGGACAUCAGGAGGUUAGUGCAAUGGCAUAAGCUAGCUUGACUGCGAGCGUGACGGCGCGAGCAGGUGCGAAAGCAGGUCAUAGUGAUCCGGUGGUUCUGAAUGGAAGGGCCAUCGCUCAACGGAUAAAAGGUACUCCGGGGAUAACAGGCUGAUACCGCCCAAGAGUUCAUAUCGACGGCGGUGUUUGGCACCUCGAUGUCGGCUCAUCACAUCCUGGGGCUGAAGUAGGUCCCAAGGGUAUGGCUGUUCGCCAUUUAAAGUGGUACGCGAGCUGGGUUUAGAACGUCGUGAGACAGUUCGGUCCCUAUCUGCCGUGGGCGCUGGAGAAUUGAGGGGGGCUGCUCCUAGUACGAGAGGACCGGAGUGGACGCAUCACUGGUGUUCGGGUUGUCAUGCCAAUGGCACUGCCCGGUAGCUAAAUGCGGAAGAGAUAAGUGCUGAAAGCAUCUAAGCACGAAACUUGCCCCGAGAUGAGUUCUCCCUGAGACUUUAAGUCUCCUGAAGGAACGUUGAAGACGACGACGUUGAUAGGCCGGGUGUGUAAGCGCAGCGAUGCGUUGAGCUAACCGGUACUAAUGAACCGUGAGGCUUAACCUUACAACGCCGAAG
rnacentral:rRNA from 1 species